UUCUUGAAAUUGUGUGUGUGUGUGUGUGUGUGUGUGUGUGUACACACACAUAUAUAUACACAUACAUAUACUGGAAUU